GAGGGGAGAGAAAACAGACCCCAGCGUGACUGGAGGGAGGAGAGCUACACACACAACCAGUGGCGCCAGAAUGAGUUUUGAAGUGGGGGGGAUAUUUCCAGCUUUGGAUGAUGUGUAGACACGACUCAGAAGGAGGGUCCUGGCUCCUGUUGAUACAGACCCUUAUGCUUUUCACUCUGAGAACUGUUACACUGUGACCAACCAACCAACCAAUGAGAUGCAGGUCUUCAAACGACAGAGACUUGAGAAACUCCUCAUCGACAUCGGCACGGUGAGUGCACCUAGAGUUUGGACCGUGGAGUUGAAGCUGCUCCACUGAGCAAGUCUGCCGAUAGAACAUGGGGCGAUGGAGCAGAAAUACAGCACGAGAUGAGCAGUCCGAGUGAGCAGGGGCAGUGGGGCCGCACAGUGAGGACAAGACGCUGAGGAAAUCGAAUCAGAGGAGCCAAAUAGGAGAAUGGAUUUUGGAUUACGGAUUUUGAGAUGCAUCAUUUUGAUCACUACCAUAAUCCAAAAUUUCCCAGUGUGCCUCAAAAAUCAGGACUCGAAUAUAUCUUGGAAACCCCACCCUCCCCCUCAAGGUUGUAUAACUUGCAUUUGUGAUGUUAGUCUCCUUCAAAGCGUACUGAACCUAUCCUGCUAUUCAAAUGCCAAGCUCUUGAAGAUAUAUCCUAAUUUUGACAAGACGUGUGAUAGAUAUGAUGGCUCUCUAGUAGCUCUCACCCAUCUACUGAGCGGACAAAUAUUUUUAAAUAUAUCUCCAAAAACAUUUGGAGAGGUAUCUGUGGGGUUCUGGUCAAUCAGCAGAACCA